AUGCUACUCCCUCUAUUCCAUAAUUCUUGUCGAAAUCUUACAUGUAUCUAUACAUUUUUUAGAAAUAGAUACAUUCAUUUUUGGACAAAUUUGAGACAAGAAUUAUGGAACGGAGAGAGUACAUU
rfam:Brachypodium distachyon strain Bd21 chromosome 1, whole genome shotgun sequence.